UCUCGGGGUCGUGGUCAUCCUCGGCGUGCUGCCCCCGCCUCGGGAGCCCCUCCUCCUGGAGCUCCUUCCACUCCUGCUCCUCCUCUUCUGUGGCCGUUGCGUGUACAGUUUCCCCUGCGCUUUGGCGGGCGACGAGGCGGGAGGAGGGCCUGAGCCCAGGGAGUACGCGUGCGCGCGGAGUCGCUGUCGCGGUUGGGAGCGGUAGCGCGGAGACGGUGGGGAGCAUCCUGGUGAGGGAGGAUUUGAUUGCUGGCUGCUGAUACCCUGCUGGUGGUACUGAGGAGAUUGUGAGGCGCGUGUUCCAGCCUCUAGAACCGCCGCGCCGCCUGGACGAACGGGGCGGCACGUCGGAGGUUGCGGAACGAGGACUGGGGGAACUCGGGAGCGUACCAG
rnacentral:rRNA from 1 species